rnacentral:pre_miRNA from 1 species
AGUGAGCUAGCUGAGUCAAAUGGUGGUUUCAUUUUCUGAGGAAUAUUCAUAUCACUUUCCAAAAUGGUUGCACCAAUUUGCAUUCCCACCAGCAAU